rnacentral:lncRNA from 1 species
AACUACUUGCGGUACUUCCAAUUCUGAGCUGUGGGAACGCCGACAUCGACCACCGGAAGCAGCUCUUCGAGCUUAUUUCGAAGAAGUUCAUAAACCCAAUGCUCAGUAAUUAUGCACUCGGUGCGACUGACAGAAACACUGCUGUGAGGAUCUUGGAGAACAAGCCCCUCUCUC